rnacentral:piRNA from 1 species
UNGCUAUCCGAUCCACACAGAACUUACCCAGU